rnacentral:lncRNA from 1 species
UGAGAGAAAAGAGAAAGAAACAAAUGUAAGAGAAGGAGAACGUGCCAAAAUUGGAAAAAAACGUGAAAUUGUUGAGUUUUGAUAUAAAAAUAAAACAAAACAAAAUAAAUAAAAUAAAUUUAAAACUUAAAACCAAUUUAAGAUAUAAUAAAAAUAAUUCCCCAAAACACACAUGAGUAAUCGAACCCAGAACCUAGAGGUAAACUAACACACAUCCAUCCACC